rnacentral:misc_RNA from 1 species
UAGUUGACUCGUAUUUCCAAACAGGUGGGAGCUUCUUGGUCUUCUUGUAGUAGCGGGCUAGUCGGUGAAUCCUGCUCUCCACAAGAAUCAACCUGAACUUUGAGUCUUUGUCCUUCCUGUUCCUUUCCAAAUGCUUUCUAAUCGAGACGGCCUUCUUAAUCAAAUGGUAAAGAUCCUCGGGAAUCUCCGGAGCAAGCCCAUGAGCCUUAAGAAUGCGCAAGAUCUUGUUGCCAGUAACGCUCUUAACCUGAGCAAUACCAUGA